rnacentral:rRNA from 1 species
UACGUAGGGUGCAAGCGUUAAUCGGAAUUAUUGGGCGUAAAGCGUGCGCAGGCGGUUUUGUAAGUCAGAUGUGAAAUCCCCGGGCUUAACCUGGGAACUGCGUUUGAAACUACAAGGCUAGAGUGUGGCAGAGGGGGGUGGAAUUCCACGUGUAGCAGUGAAAUGCGUUGAUAUCAGGAGGAACACCCAUGGCGAAGGCAGUACACUGGCCGGCAUCUGACGCUGAUGCGCGAAAGCGUGGGUAGCAAACAGG